ensembl:lncRNA
GGAAAUUACAGCAGCAAGCUUGUCCUGAAAAGGAAAGUAUGCACUGCUAUGCUCUUGUGAUGGUUUUCUACUAAGACUUUUCCAUUCAAAUCUAAUGCAUAAUUAAUUGCAGGAUGUGAUAAACCUUCCCAGAUUUAAGAUAAAUUCCAUAAUACUGAACAAUAAACCAAACUUACUAGACCUCCAGAUGUCUUUUUAAAAUGCUUGUUUCACAGAAAUUUAAUUAGAUUGAUUAGGAUUACUGAGCUGUGCAUAUGAGAAUCCCCUAAAGGCUUUUCCUUCUCAAGAGAGGUUUCUACAAUAAUUAAACUGUAGCAGGACACUCAAUUGGAACUUUUAAUGGUCACCCCUGCCAACUAACGAGGGAGAAAAGAAAGCAGAAGAUAUAACUUCCAAAAGCAAUGCAAGCAGAAAAACACGUUCUUUAAAAUGAAGAGAUGACCUGGGAAAAGAUAAAAGGAACACUGAUUAUUUAAGUAUUGAAAAGGUUGCUGAAAUCUCCCAUAGCAGAGAAGCAGUAGAAGCACUGACAUAAUGGAAGCUGCUGGCAUCAAGACCAUCUCAGUGAAAACUUCGGACAGUACAAUCUGGAAUGCUGAGAAUAAAAGUAGACUUCUUUCUGUUAAUUAUCUGCUGAGGAGAAUUACUUAAAUUUUGUUGAAGCACUGUAUGUUUAAGACCUAAUAAAGAAGUGCAAGAUGAAG